rnacentral:lncRNA from 1 species
UUUGAACAAGAAUCAAAAGUCAUCAGUAAACCAUCAGAGGACACAAUGAAAAGUAACUCUCUUCGUCUCAGCACGAAGGAGAACUCUAUCAAAGUGGAGCCACCGUUUAAUGUGCAAAAUUCUCAUGACUCUGACAAUGAUGUUUACUAUCCAUACUGCUUUUUUUCGACAGAGGAUAAUAAUGAAGAUGACCACGAGAAGAGAAAAGCAAGACUGCGUCUCAGAAAAGGAAGAAGUGUCGUGCACAAAAGCCUUGAAGAUAAUUAUGGCGCUGUGAUAAUAGCCAAUCAUGAAGCUCUGCACAAGUUCUAGAUCAGCUUCAACUCAAUCCUGUUGUACCGCCUCAUUUCCGAAGCCUGUCGGCUUCAAGUAAGAUUCGAUGGAGUGACUUUUCAAACAUUGAUAUCACUAAAAGGAAGAUCUUGGCUGACCGAAUAUUUUACUCCGCUGAAUGGAAUUCUCACCCUGUCACGCUAUGUAUAUCACAGCUCCAACACUCGCCAUGUACCUUACCGCAACUCUACACCUUAUCACCCAAUUACUGAGUUCACCGAUUUUGUAUCUGCAGAGUAUCUGACCACCAACAAAAUCCUAAACUCCGAGCAAGUGGCCGUUGCUGUCCUGAGCUCUCAAUUCUUUGACUCUCUGGCAAGCUACUGCAACUUGAAGCCAGCAACUCAAACUGAAAAGGAUAUUGGCUUAAUAGUGAUUCAACUAGUGAACGUUCUCAAGUGUCUCCAAACCUGCGACCAAAUAGACAUUUCCAUGCAAGAACUUGUUUUGUGCAGAGAAGAAGAGGGAAAUGUGCCAAGGCUUUGUGUGGCACCGAUUUCCACUGACUCGCCAAUCCUCAAAGAAAAGGUAUCCAUUUACUUUUGUUUCUUGCAAAAACUUUGUUCAAAAAAGAUUUUUCUUUAUCUCUUUUUUAGCCAAAAAAUCACUAUCUCCUAA